rnacentral:rRNA from 1 species
UACGUAGGGUGCAAGCGUUGUCCGGAAUUAUUGGGCGUAAAGAGCUCGUAGGCGGUUGUCGCGUCUGCUGUGAAAACCCGAGGCUCAACCUCGGGCCUGCAGUGGGUACGGGCAGACUAGAGUGCGGUAGGGAGAUUGGAAUUCCUGGUGUAGCGGUGGAAUGCGCAGAUAUCAGGAGGAACACCAAUGGCGAAGGCAGGUCUCUGGGCCACUACUGACGCUGAGAAGCGAAAGCAUGGGGAGCGAACAGG